CGGAAGAGUGAAGGCUCGGCAUGCCUGUGUCUCCAGCUCUCUGCCGGGAUUUCGGCUACAGCCACAGCUGGGACCGUCUGCUGCUGUGCUGCUACACCUUUAAGGGCUCCUGGAUGCCCCUUUCUAUUGGACAAUUGAAGCUCUCUGAGCAGCCUCUCCCGCCAGCAUUGUCAUUGUCCCACCUCCGGAAGACCUCCCCGGGAAGCUGGGGCCAGAGACCAGUCACCUUCCUAGCUCCUUCUCAACAUGUUUCCUUUAACUUCGUUUGGUGCGUCACUGUUAACCCUUUUACUUCCUGGGUUCUCUCAAAUGUCAUCGGCUGAUGAGUGUACCAAGCUGGAAAACCAGAGAGCAUUUGUCUUCAAGAGGAAAGAGCGAUGAGGUCAUAGAGGAGAGAAGACUGGGCAAUGAGGUUGGACGCCUAGGCUGGCCCUCAGAGCCAAGGGCCUCGCGCAUGUAGCCCGGUGUCCUGAGAGGCUCCAGCCGGCACUGAGCUGAAAUGAUGGAGAGAGGCAGCAAUCGACAUAUUUUCAAGAGGAUCUGGAAUAAGCCCUCUUCCUUUCGCGGAAUUGUUGAAGGGACAGAGCUUGGUAACUACCCACCCACUGCCUUCCUUCUCCCUCGGUCACCCUACGCAGACCACUUUGCCACCUGCUUCUUCUGUGAAUAGGAUGGCGAUAUUCUCUUGUCCCAUCGAGGACUUGUUGCAAGUAAAGGAAGGCACCGUUGAUAACCGUGCGCCAUGACGACAGAUGUCAACCUGGCCAACCGGGAGGUGGGGUCACACUAGGACCCAAUUCAUGAGUCAUCCCCUGGCCCCUCCAGGGCGACCACUGGCAAGGAUUCAACACCUCCUGUCUCCUUAGAGCCACGACCAUGUACCAAGGCCUAAAGUGUUGGGACCAGGUGGACAUUGUGUAGAGCACAAAGAUACUGCCCCUGUUCUCACCUCCACUCACCUCUGGUGGGAGAUAAGAUCAGAACGGAAAUGACGUCCACAUCUGAAGGGCAGUGCCUGACCCACAAAGGUGUCGAUAACUGAUAACUCCACGUUCUCCCCUUUUGGAUGCUUAUCGUAAGUAGGAACAGCGGCCUCUUUACCUGAGUCGGACGAGCACAUCCAACAUCCAGGGGCUGCAGACAGCUUGAGUCCAUCCCGGACCCCUUGGGGGUCAAGGACCCAUGUGUAUAACUGAAUAUGUCACAGCUAAGAGACCCAGAUGGUGAUCCACACAUGACACGGGGCUCAGUAAGUACUGCUGGGUUUUUACAGCCGGGUGAACCAGCCACCCAACCCCCCUCCCCUCCGCAUGGGGGCAUGGGAGAAAUAAAAAAGCAUCCCUAUAUGACGUGACACACAAAUGAAUGGGUUUGAGGACUUUCGAUGACUCACAGGAUCCUGGACAUUUGUAUACAGACAAAUGGUCUUCCGCACCUCCCAGCAAACCACUCUGAGCCAAUAACGGUGGAGGAAGACAGAUCCAUCACGGCCACCUUUCAAGAGAGGAACCUGCCAGUCCUGGGCUCUCUUCUCUGUAAGAAAUACAGUGACACUGCCCGCCAAGAGACAUUUUUCUUGCACUCCACUCAUUCCAAAGACCAAAUGUUUUAUUGCAAAUGUCCGCCAAAAUAAACAGGCCUACAAGUCCCACAGCCAGUGGGACAGCGCCCUGGCCCAGGGAGGGAGGUGCGCGUGCUGGCCCUGACUGCCACUUGCCCCCCUGGGGGCCACCAUGGGCAAGCCCGCAGCGCUCCGUUCCCUCAUCCCUGACCGGGGAUGGGCUCCGCCCACCUCACCGGCAACGGAGGACCGUCCAGGGAAAGGACUUGGAACACAGAAAAGCGUAUGUAAGGUUAGACAAUGCAGUGGUUCGUGUUCACCGUCCAGGAAAAAAAAAAAAAAAAAAAAAAGAACAAAAAAACAAAACAAAACAAAAAACCUUGCUUUUCAUUGUCAAACCUCAACUAAAUGGAGUCGCUUGGAAAAGAUGCAUUAAAAUUUCUGGCAAAUCA